GACAGGGGGCUCGAGCGUUAAUCGGAAUCAUUGGGCUUAAAGGGUGCGUAGGCGGGUUGCUAAGUGGUCUGUGAAAUCCCCCGGCUCAACCGGGGAAUCGCAGGGCAUACUGGCAGCCUUGAGGCAUGUAGGGGCGGACGGAACUGUAGGUGGAGCGGUGAAAUGCGUAGAUAUCUACAGGAACGCCGAUGGUGAAGACGGUCCGCUGGGCAUGUCCUGACGCUGAGGCACGAAAGCGUGGGGAGCAAACAGG
rnacentral:rRNA from 1 species